rnacentral:misc_RNA from 1 species
GAUGAAGAACGUAGCGAAAUGCGACAAGUAAUGUGAAUUGCAGAAUUCAGUGAAUCAUCGAAUCUUUGAACGCACAUUGCGCCCGUCAGUAUUCUGGCGGGCAUGCCUGUUCGAGCGUCAUUACGCCCCUCAAGUCCCCUGUGGACUUGGUGUUGGGGAUCGGCGAGGCUGGUUUUCCAGCACAGCCGUCCCUUAAAUUAAUUGGCGGUCUCGCCGUGGCCCUCCUCUGCGCAGUAGUAAAACACUCGCAACAGGAGCCCGGCGCGGUCCACUGCCGUAAAACCCCCCAACUUUUUAUAGUUGACCUCGAAUCAGGUAGGACUACCCGCUGAACUUAAGCAUAUCAAUAAGCGGAGGA